GAUGAACGCUGGCGGCGUGCCUAAUACAUGCAAGUCGAGCGAACAGAUAAGGAGCUUUCUCCUUUGACGUUAGCGGCGGACGGGUGAUUAACACGUGGGUAACCUACCUAUAAGACUGGAAUAACUCCGGGAAACCGUGUCUAAUGCCGGAUAACAUUUAGAACCUCAUUGUUCUAAAGUUAAAGUUGGUUUUUCUUUCACUUAUAGAUGGACCCGCGCCUUAUUAGUUAGUUGGUAAGGUAACGGCUUACCAAGGCAACGAUACGUAGCCGACCUGAGCGGGUGAUCGGCCACACUGGAACUGAGAAACGGUACAGACUCCUACGGGAGGCAGCAGUAGGGAAUCUUCCGCGAAGGGGGAGAGCCUGACGGAGCAACGCCGCGUGAGUGAUGAAGGUCUUCGGAUGGUAAAAUUAUGUAAUUCGGGAAGAACAAAUGUGUAAGUAACUGUGAACGUCAUGACGGUACCUAAUCAGAAAGCCACGGCUAACUACGUG
rnacentral:rRNA from 1 species